GAGCAGAUGAUGUGAAACAUUUAGACCGCUGAGAUCUCUCCGGUCUUUGAUGUCUCUAAAAUCGAGCUUUUUAAAACUGAUGCUUA